UGCUGACGGACCUUUGCUGUUUUGGAUGGUGUUGCCCCCAUGCGAAGACCCCCUAAAAAGCCAAACCAAAAUUACCUGGAUUUCCAAUGAACGAGAAGCGAAUAGCAUCACGACAUCGCGUCUUGAAAGNNNGUAAAAUCUCGUUUGACGGUAGCACCAUCGACUGCUCUGUCCGCAACAUAUCAAGAACCGGCGCGGCGUUAGAGGUCGCAAGCCCCAUCGGAAUCCCUCAAACCUUUA
rnacentral:misc_RNA from 1 species